GCUCAAGGCUAAAGGUUGCGAUUACCUAAAAGCAGAACUAGAGAAGUGUCCUGGCACAGAACCCAUCACGAUCACGCUGUCCAUGAAUGAGUCCCAUCUAGCCUUGCUACAUAAACUGCCACUGAUGAGAUUGGAAGGUAUAACCACUCACACGACGUAGAGCUUGUCUUGCAUCACAUUCGGCACCUCAAGAAACCUCCCAGGGCUCUCCUCCCAGGACACAUCGGACUCCUUUCCUCAGGUGCCUGCUCCGAGAGCUCCCUCUGAAGAAACGGUUAAGUGGCUGACCCUAAGAUGUCUUGAAUGGCUGCCAGGAGAUGGACAGUGGGGUUUAACAACAACAGUGCCUGAAUUUUUCAAGCCCUGGUUUUUGUUUGUUGUUGUUUGUGAUGUCUAUACCCAUAUCUGAACUCCAGGACAUAAUUAUGCUGCAGGUGUUACUACAGUAUGGUUUGAAAACGUCUCAUAAUUUAAAGAAUAAAACAAGUUUUUUGUAUCUCUAA